GCCCAGAUAGCUCAGUCGGUAGAGCAGGGGACUGAAAAUCCCCGUGUCGGUGGUUCGAUACCGCCGCUGGGCACCA
rnacentral:tRNA from 1 species